rnacentral:rRNA from 1 species
GACGAACGCUCGCGGCGUGCUUAACACAUGCAAGUCGAACGGAAAGGCCCUGCUUGCAGGGUACUCGAGUGGCGAACGGGUGAGUAACACGUGGGUGAUCUGCCCUGCACUUCGGGAUAAGCCUGGGAAACUGGGUCUAAUACCGGAUAGGAGCCAUUUUUAGUGUGAUGGUUGGAAAGUUUUUUCGGUGUAGGAUGAGCUCGCGGCCUAUCAGCUUGUUGGUGGGGUAAUGGCCUACCAAGGCGGCGACGGGUAGCCGGCCUGAGAGGGUGGACGGCCACAGUGGGACUGAGAUACGGCCCAGACUCCUACGGGAGGCAGCAGUGGGGAAUAUUGCACAAUGGGCGCAAGCCUGAUGCAGCGACGCCGCGUGGGGGAUGACGGCCUUCGGGUUGUAAACUCCUUUCGCUAGGGACGAAGCUUUUUGUGACGGUACCUAGAUAAGAAGCACCGGCUAACUACGUG